GAGGCUGGAGACAUCCGAAAGUGGGGAGGUCAAAUUGGUGCUUAAUGAGCCAAUUAAGCCAGCGCAUGGAGAAUAGGAACUCGAGGCAGGGAAGGCAUCUCCUCCGCUGUGCACACUGCAGCCCUCCCCUACCUGCAUUGUCCACUGAAUUAAAGCUGCCUGAGCAAAGAGGGGCUGUGUAGGGUCACCAGGGCUCUGUCCCCAGUGGAGUUGUGGCCACAACACGAGCCUUGCCCUGGGCUGCUGGGAGCUGGACACAGCACGAGGGCUCCAUUCUAGGCUAUCUAAAGCUAAAGGAGCAGCAGGUCACCUCCUGCCCAGCCUUGCAGCGGGUUUGUAGCAGAGAACAAAGCUGUUUCUGCAGGGGAAGGUAACAGGUUUUCUGCUUGCUCUAUUUUGGACAUCCAUCUACCCACCUCGCUCUGUGCUGGCAUAAAUCACUGCAGCUCCACUGACAGGUUUAUACCAGGAGAGAAUUCGUCUCCAGCCUUGAAAAUAGAAGUGACAAGAGGGAGAGAAAGAAGUGUUGCUGGUCAGAGACUGUGGAGAAAUGUGAGAGGCGAGCAGGGCAGAGUGGAGCAGGCUUCGGAUGGGCACGGCAGAGGGUGGGCAGCCUCCUCCAUCGGGUGCAGUUGGCUGCUGGCGGUUGUGUUGGGGUUGGGGUUGCUUUGGGCCAGGCAACCCCUGGACUCCACGCUCCGCAAUAAAGGCCAACAUUUCCAUUGGGAUGAGCCCAGGAUUAAGGAUGGCUCUGAAAUCCAGUGCGUGCUGAAGACUGGAGCACAUGGGAUAAAGCUGCUGCGGUGCAGGAACGUCCCCGGCUCUGACGUUCCCGUGCAUCCUGGGCAAAGGACACAACCGUACAACACAAGCAAGAUGAGAUUAUGUAAAAUCCCCUGCUCAUUGACCUCCUUCACGUCCUGUCUUCUAUUUAUAUGCCCUGGGGCUGCCAGGGACAGUGCGGGGUGUCCUCGGUCUGUGUUGGCAGGGCUGGGGUGCUCAGCUGUGGGGUGGGGGUCAGGAGAACCCUGGAUCUGGCUCCCACAUCCCACAUGGAGGGACUCCAAGGGUUUCCUCCUCACAGUGCUCACCUGGACCAACCUCCCCAUCCAGGGACAGGGAGGUCCUUGGGCUUCAGCGCUUGGUUUUUGUCACCCAGCAGGGUUCUGCUUGCUAUGUGUAGUUAUGGGUGGCUGCUCGGCUUCCUUCCUCAACUUCUUUCCCCCAGUCUCCAGUGAAGCACAAGGGCUGCACGAGGGGACAUGAGGUUGAGAAGGUAGAGGUGCCAUCAGCCAGAGCUCUGUGCGAGGUGGGAGCAGCCCCUCUGCACCUCGGGCUGCCAAAAACAGAGCCAGUGGCGCAGCAUCAUCUGGAUUUCACCUCCCAGCCCCAUCCCCUCUGGGAAGCAGGAUGUGAGCUCCUCAUUUCCAGCACCAUCAGGACACGAGCUCCUCAUUGCCAGCACCAAGCAGGACGUGAGCUCCUCAUUGCAAGCGCAUCUCCGGGCUGGAGCAAUCAGCACACAGCAGGCAAGCACAGACAAGUGUCAGCUGAAUCUCUGUGCGAUUUUAAAUACAUUAGUGAGGCCACGAGUACAGCUCCAAGCCGAUAAAUAACCCCCAAACCAACCAGCAGGAAAAUAACCCCCUCCUUCCACCGGAGACGAGGCAGGAGGCAGCGUUAGCAUCGCUUUCCCCCUUGUUUCUAAGAGCAGAUCUCCGUGCUUUAAUCCAGAGCCACAAGGGUCAAUUCUCUGCCACUUCUGCGGAGUCAUUAUACUGCCUGUUAUAUAAAUGUCUGGGCAUGCACAAAAGGCAGCGCUGGUACAGAGGCUCCGACACAACUCUCUCCAACACCUGCUUUCAGCUGGGGAGAGAGCCGAGCGCGAGAGCAUCUCGAGAGCUGUCACACUGAAAGCUGCUGUCUUUCAAGCUGAAUGGAGGUCUAAAUAGCUCUCACUUCUCCUUUAGAAUCUCAUUUCUAAAUGCAAUUAAUAUUGGCACAUGCAUAAUGAGAGGCUGACAAGUGAAUGCAGACUCUGGCAACAAGAAGGCAGCCCAAGUGCUAUGUAAAUAUUACAAAUCCUCACUCAGAGCUGACCUGGGAAGACAGCUUUCUGAUGAUAAAACCCAAGUGACAAUGCCACUGGAUUCCGACAUCUGUCACAAUACUACCUGCUGCUACAUAAUGUGCUACGCCAAAAGAAUCAGCUCUCGCUGCUCCUUAAUGCAGAUAAAAUGUCUAUUUGCAGAGUGUAAUUAAUCUCUUCUUCAAAAUCGGGAACCUUAGUGUCCUUGGUAACAACAUGCCAGUGACUCAGAGCGAGUCUCAGCUUUCUCCUCUGGUUUUUGAGUGAUACUGGAAGUGACCCCCAGUUCUUGCAAUGGAAAGGAAACGGGCAUCACAGGUGGAGGAGCCACGGGGUGCAUGGGGUGGAGAAGGGUUCAGCCCUGCUCCGGGCUCUCUGAUGGUUUGGGUAGGCCAAAAGGGAGGUGACCAACAUUAGGUCCCCAAGGCACAAAUGCCCCUUGAUCUCACUGAUCACCAUUGGGUGACAACAUGAAAGCAGCAGUGCCAAUCAGAGCAUCACACUGCACACUGCUCUGCCCCAGCUCCCACCGUGGGAUGGGACCCAAAAGUCAAAUCCUCCACCCCAAAGCACUCAGGGCUGCAGCAGCUUUCUAUGAACACGGCUAGGAAGCAGCCACUGCCGCCGGGUUCUGCUCACUGACCCAAUUCCAAAGCCCAAGGGAAGGAUGCACGCCGCGAUAAAGGGAGAGAUGCUGGAAGGAGGAGGCGAUGAGGAAUUGUAUGAUUUAUUUAUUUCCUGGCAAAAAAAAAAAAAGAAAAAAAAUGAUGUGUUGGCUGAAAUCAGCGUAUUCCAGGCCAAACUGUGCUGCAGCAGAACCUCGUGGGACUUCAGCUGAACAGAGCUGGGGAAAAACAUAGGGAAAAUAUGGGGAAAACAUGGAUAAAAGGCAGGUUUGGGCGAUGAUGAGGGCUCAGCUCCUUCAGUGCAAUGCUGUGAAAGAUAACACCUUCCAUUUGGAAAGCCAAAUGGGUCCAGAUGCUCCCAGUGUAGCCCAGUCUGGGCUCACCUCAUGUUUUCCAUCCCCAGGCACCCCAAGGGAGAGGAAGAAGAGCCCAGGAGGGAGGAAGGCUCUGAGCCUCGCGCCACCUAACCGUGCUGUGGAGCCAGACCAGGAUUUACAGGUCUCUUUGCCUAUCGGUGAGGCUGUGUGCGCUCUGGAAAGUGGCUGCUCCUGAGGUGCAUGGAAAUAGAGACACAGAGCCUGAACUGGGCAGACCAGGGGGGAAGAGCCCUUUCUGGCACUUCCAACAGCUGCCCAUCUCCCAGCCUCCCAGCCUCAGAACACAUCGAGAACCCCUCCAAAACCCACCUCCAUGGUGCAGCUCAGGGUGAACCGAGGCCAAAUUAAAUCCUGAAUGCUGUGUCCGGGGGGGGCUUUGGGUAGUCCCACAGCAAUGCCCUUUGGGAGCCACAAGGCAGCCCAUGGGCACGGGGCAAUGGCACGUUGUGCUCCCGGCGCUGGGACUCUCCCAGCUCUCCCACCCGUGCACACACAUUAAUAAAAGAUCAGUUUGCAGACGCAGUUUGCUGUAGAUGACAGCAUUAGAGGCGCAUCUGGUUUCUGCUAAGCACCGCUCUCGUGCUGGGUUUAUUUGGUCCAUUUGUGGCAGGGAAGAGUUGCUUUCGGCAUUCAGUGGUGUCUCGUGUCUGGGAGAGGUGGGGGGGAAGAUGUAUUUUUGGUGCAGCUUAGCCACAAAAAUUCGGUUUCAGAAUAAAGACAAAUAUUCCUGUUUUCUAUCUGCUGCCAAACGGAGCCUUCGUUUGUCUGAGAACUUGGCAUCCUGCUGGAAAAAAGAUGUUCUGAUGGGAAAAGUCCAUGGGUUGGUAUUGAUCAGGCAUUGGGACUGGCAGAUGUCAGCUUCAGCCUGGCCAAGAAAGCAGUUCCCAUCCUUUCCCCAAGGGGUGUGAAGGAGGAGGAGGUGGCGCUUUUGUGGUUUUGGCUGCUUUUGGCUGAAUGUUGGCACAGCAGUGGGAAAGGCAAGCACCUAAGCUGGGCUGCUCCCAGCUUCACUGCACCUCUCAACCCUUCCCACCUGCAGGGCGCAGGCAGACACUGCAGCUCCCUUCAGGCUGCUUCUCUGCAGGGAGAACUUGCUGAAUGUCCACAGAGGUUUCCUAAUAGAUUUCUUUUUCCCCCUGAAGCUUUUUAAUUAAACCUUUCCGAUCCCAACUCACUUUUGAUUUUACUUUCAUAAAGGCAUUGUGAUAUUCAGGAAGAAUAAAACUGCUAUUGUACCUGGAGCUGCCUUCAUUUCACAGCAGAAUGAAAGCAAAUGUGAAGCCAGUAGUGCCAGGAGCAGAGGGAAUGCCCAUGCAGCACAGGAGAGACUGGGGGCUGGAAAGACAAAAGCUUAUCUGGAUGGGAGCCUCAAAAGCAGAAUCAGCUCCUUGGAUGCUAUACAUCACCUGGGCUCCCUGGAGGUGCUGGUACUGUUGCAGCACUCUGUGUAUUGAUUUAAGGGAGAAUAAAGGUCAGGAGCUGAGCGGGAGGAGGCUGAGCACGUUUGGGUGGGCAGUGAUGAGCGGAGCUGCGUGUGGGCAAGGACAGAAUCGGGAAGGAGAUGAGCCAGAGCUCCAACAGCCCCAACACGUGAGCGCAGAGCCCGGCACAGCUCUCCUGGCAGAUGGCUGAGCCCACCAGCAGGGCUCAUCCAGCCACAGCCAUCCCAGGUUUAGGGAAAACCCAGAUUUCAGCCUAGGCUUUACCAUCAGCAAGUCUGACCUUUCCUCCCAUUUGGACUCACACACAUACGUAGCCAAAAAAGAGACAAAAUAAAAGCAGAAAGGAGCACGCCAGCAAAGCGGAAAGGCCAGCUGGACGUGGCACAGACGGCCGGCGCUUUGGGUCACUGCGCUGCGAGCCGUGCUCCAUCAGCUGCAUGGGGGAGUGGUGGAUUUGGGGCCGAAGGUUUCCUGAGCCAGCCCUCAGUCUGGGGACCUUUGGGACGGAUGGUUUCAUGAGAAAUAGCCUCGAUUUACUCAACCCGUUGCAGCAAUCGGCGGCUGGCCGAGGUGGCUGCCGCCUGUGCCGGGAUGCGUGCUGAUCCCGGGAGGUCUUCAGUGGGUGGGAGGGGAAAUUUGCUCAAUCUCAGAAACUGCAUCGCUGCUGCUG